GGCAUGCGAAAAGCAACGACCAGGCACACACGUCUCACGCCCCUAUCUGCUAGCAACCUCCUCGCUCCUCCCCAUCCCAUCUCCCUGCUGAAAAAAUCGCCACGCCAUCCACGCCGCUCACGAUCCCCGCUGCGGCGUCUGCGUCGAUGGGCUCCCCUCGGUCCUCCUCCACCAAGCACCCGCCCUCCCAUGGUCGUGGUCCAUCCUCUACCAAGCUCUUGAUUGGGAGUCCCACGAGGUUGGGAGUCCCUUGAGGCCUUACCACGACCAUGGAAUCCCUUGCCCUCGCCUGCGUCGAUGGACCCGCCCGUGACCGGACCGAGAGCAUGUUAUCUAGCUGCGCCUCGCGAUCCCCCCACUGCGGCGCCCUGCCCCGUGCUGACGCCGCGGGCGCGGGCGGCUCAGCCCGCCGGGAAGGCGGGCUUUCCCCCCGCCGCGCGGACCGGCGCGCUCAGGUGAAGCUGCUCGCCGGGUUACCCCGGCGCCCGCCUUUCGUCUACCCACCGUGUCGUCGGGUGAUCUCUGUGUGCGCCGUUUAUGCAGGGCCAGCAGGGGAUGCGCCACUCUGCCGCUGGUCCCGCCGUGCCGGAGCCGGUGGAGCGCCGUCGUGUGCAACGCGUCGGUGUACAUCAUCCCGCUCAUGAAGCAGUGUGUCUCCGUCGCGGCCGCGGCGUGAGUGCCUCCCCCAUCUCAUCGUCGAUACCCAAAGAUCUUGGAUGAGUUACUGGGGCUGUUCAGGCCAUGACUCCAAAUUGCAAUUGCUAUCUUGAGGACGGGCAAUCUUGUGUAACUGAAAAGUGCUCUUGCUUGCUAAAGGCACAGGCAUACACAAAUCCUUCAUCGUGCCAUUGUUUGUUCUGCAAGCACCUAGCACUGUAAUCUCAUGGAUCAAGAGUGAAUAUGGGAUGUGGACUGCUUUUCUUGCGCUUGCAGUGCGUUUGUUCUUACCCUUUCCAGGUGACCUAGAGCUUCCGCAGUCAACAAUGCUGGCGGUCAGCGUUGCUCCUUACCAGGUGAUGAAUGUGAGAUGUGCAAAGCAACAAUUAUAUACCCCACUGUGUUGGACCCAAAUACCUUCCGGAAAGAAGUUCUGAAGGGUGGGAUACUAGACAACCAUGUAAUUUCAGCUAUAUCUUUAUUAUAUAAAAUAGGUGGAAUUUUAGGUAUGUUCUGCUAUCCCCCCCCCCCUCUCUCUAAUUUGGUGCUAUUGGUUUGUUAAGGUACCUAUUUAUUUUGAGUUUUUUCUGUGCCAAACACAAAGGUUGAAUGUAUGGCUUAGCACUAACUUCAUGUGGGUUUUUCUGCUCAAGUUAUUUCAGUUAUAUUCCUCAGUUAAUACUUCGCAGGAUCUUGAGGAGUUCUUUUGUGUUGUAUUGCUUUGAAGGUGAAUCUCAUUCCUCGGAUUUUGCUCUGUUGUCGUAGCACUUUCAGAUUUGAAGUUAUGUUUCUCAAGUAAGAAGUAGUAUCUUUGUGCUUUUAGCAAUGAGAAUAUUUGAGGAACUACCUAUUACAACAUCAUUUUCUAGGAAAAUUAGAUCAUAACAAGAGACGAUGAAUCAUUUAUUUUCUUUGUUGUGGGUAGGGUCAAAUUUUGAAUUACCAAGCUUUUGUAUGAUUUUGAUUGACCAGGCUUGCUUGCUGCUUGCUUGUCAAUCAAGCUAUGUUGGUCGAUUUUAGAGACAAACUUGUCUUCGAAUAAGACUAUCUAGAAGCAGCAAGGCAAAGACAUCCAUUGCAUUACUAACUGGGAUAAUUUUGACUUGUUAGCUACACCCUUUGGAUGGUCCUAAUUGUAGAAAGUUAUUAUAGACAAUCAACCCUUCAAAUUUCACCAUCAUGAAAGAAUCUAAAUAUAGUAUGUUUUCUUCUCUUACUUUUUUAUUAUACUCUUCUACUCUUAUAAUUCAUCAAAUGCUAACUAUUACCUUCACUUUAAUGCUCGGAACCCCUGGUUGAUAAUUUAUAGUGGGUCAGUUCUGUGUUGAUUUCUCUCAUGAUGAUUGAUGCUUUGUUACAUAGAUAGAAAAAAAAUUGAGAAAUCAGAUGGAGAAGGAAUGGCACAACCGUGAAAAAUAAGUCAGAUGCUUGUUGAAAGAUAUAUACUGUGAGUUUCAUAUAUUUUGGUUAUAUAAGGAUUCAAUUUUUUAAGGAGGCCGGAGUGGAGAAGUAGAUGUGACAUAGAGAAACAUGGCUAUGCAGGGGAAGCGGGAAAUCACACUUUGACAAAUGUUUCUAUAGUCAUGUGUUAUUCUGUAGCCACUGAGCAAAUGCAUCGACAUACAUGUGUCAGAGACGCUGUAUGCUCUUUGAUUGUUGAUAAUUUUUUGUUUCUCGUGGACCUUGUUUGACUUUUGGAUGUGGUGUGAAUUCUAUGGGCUAAUAUGUCAAGCUUUCGAUGGUUCACUAUGUACGCUUGUUUGGUGAUUCAAUAUUUGUCAGUGUGGUAAUAAGCCACAUACGACACAAAUUCUUCUAUUUUGCCGAACACAUCCUCUUGAAGUACAAGAUAUUUUUAUAACCAUGUCUACAACUCAUGAUCUCUAUGCCUAAAUUUAUUGUUUGGUGCCAUUGUGACCAAUAUCCCUUAAAACAUGGAUGUUCCCGCCUUUCGCUCUGGUCGACGCGACCGCUCGCGCUGAUUUUGAACGAAAAUUCAAUCCAAGGAGCGACCGCUCGCGCUGAUUUUGAACGAAAAUUCAAUCCAAGGAGCGGGAAGGGACUGCUUUGGCCCACAAAAGAAAAAAGAAGAAAAGAAAACGCAACCAAACCACAGCCAGGCCGCGCGGCUUCUCUCUCUGUCUUGCUCCUCUCUCGAUCCCCUCCAGAUCCAACCGCCACCGCCGACCUCCGUCCUCUCCCCCAACCCCAGCUCCAACUCCGGCCUCCACUCCACCGCCGGCGAUCCAUCCGUUCCCCUCCUCUCGCUCGCCGUAGAUCCGCUCGAGCAGCGCAGCCCACGGUCAGAUCAGAUCCUCGCGCCCGGAACCCUAGCCCUCUGGCCAUGGCGACCGGCCGCAGCACAGGUUGGAGGUGCCACCAUGGAGUCCUCUGCCGGGGACGCCGCCCAAGUGCUCGUCAAGGCCCGCUGCUCCUUCUUCCUCCUUUUCCUCAAAUUCAAGGGCAAUCAGCAGCACACGCCAUCCUCAAGGCGCACGGUUCUUCUCUUCUCUGAUGGAUGGAUGGGUUGGUCGUGGAGGAGGAGAACGACCAGGAGAAUAGGGAUCCCGUCUCUUCUUUUCUCUUCAUCAAUGUCGGCCGCUCAGGAACAACGACCCAGCCACCCCUCAAGGAAAGGCAGGAGUGCAAACCCUUGGAGUUCAUGUAGAGUAUUCUGCCCUCAUGGGUCACAGAGGCCCUCCUUCCUCCGCCCCAUCAGAACCAGGCUGCCUGUUGUAUGUACAGCAGCAAAAAGAUUUGGAUGCAGACCGUGGUGGUUUCUUCAUAGUACACGUGCAGCCAGCCGUGUAUGUUCAAAUUCUCCCUGACGCCGUGUGAUGCUAGUGAUUUUGCCUGCCAUGCCGCAACCACGACGGUGGCGAUGUCCGGCCUCGGCUACAACUUGCACAGGAUUUGGCCUCUGGAUGGGUUUCUCGUGCCAGGCACCUCGACGACUUUUGCUAUGCUGUGGUGUUGUUUGGCAUUGGCUACACAAUAGCUAUGCAGGAUUCGAUUCGGUACAAUAAGGGGUUCGUCGUGCCAGGCUUCACGGCGCUGCUGCUUCCAUGUGACGGACUGACGGUGUUGUUUGGCAUCGGCUACAAAAACAGCCAUGGUGUCUCUGUUUACUAGUACUUGAGAGGGAAUUGGAAGUAGUUUGUUAACUGAAGCUUGGUCCUGCUCGACACCAAGGAGAGGCGCAAGGGGGUGCCUAGCACCGGCGCCGAAGAAUGCUGGUGCUCCUCUUCGUCUUCGACCUGCUCUGCUCCUUCAAGGUGAUAGCCGAAUGGUAUACGCGCGAGAUUCAUCUUCCACUCAAACGCCUCACGCCCUGCCCCUCCAGUAGCUGAUUCUUCUUCGACUCUGUCACAUGUGGCAAUCGGUGACUGGCGUGUUGAUUGGAUCCAAGGGAGGAGCUUAUGGUGUGUUGACACCAGUCUGUCCUUAUCUUGUGGCGUUGACAUCAUAAUCAUGUCCAGCCGAAAGGUAUCCAAUGUUCCCCUCUAAUUGAAAGAAAACUAAUCAGUUUGCCAUGCAGCUCGGCUAUGUCGUUAAAGUUGAUGGACUCACUUUAUAUUCCAAGCCUUCUGUUGUUAUCAUAUUAGAUGGCCUUAAGCCAUAUUUAUUGUAAUAAGUUUUCUUUUGAGACAUUCUAUGUAAUAAGUGUGUAAUUGAUACUCUGUUAUAAAUC